rnacentral:misc_RNA from 1 species
GAUGAAGAACGCAGCAAAAUGCGAUAAGUAAUGUGAAUUGCAGAAUUCAGUGAAUCAUCGAAUCUUUGAACGCACAUUGCGCCCGCCAGUAUUCUGGCGGGCAUGCCUGUUCGAGCGUCAUUUCAACCCUCAAGCACAGCUUGGUGUUGGGACUCGCGUUAAUUCGCGUUCCUCAAAUUGAUUGGCGGUCACGUCGAGCUUCCAUAGCGUAGUAGUAAAACCCUCGUUACUGGUAAUCGUCGCGGCCACGCCGUUAAACCCCAACUUCUGAAUGUUGACCUCGGAUCAGGUAGGAAUACCCGCGGAACUUAAGCAUAUCAAUAAGCGGAGGA